rnacentral:rRNA from 1 species
GACGAACGCUGGCGGCGUGCUUAACACAUGCAAGUCGAACGGUAAGGCCCUUCGGGGUACACGAGUGGCGAACGGGUGAGUAACACGUGGGUGAUCUGCCCUGCACUUCGGGAUAAGCCUGGGAAACUGGGUCUAAUACCGGAUAGGACCACUGCCUGCAUGGGUGGUGGUGGAAAGCUUUUGCGGUGUGGGAUGGGCCCGCGGCCUAUUAGCUUGUUGGGGGGGUGAUGGCCUACCAAGGCGACGACGGGUAGCCGGCCAGAGAGGGUGACCGGCCACACUGGGACUGAGAUACGGCCCAGACUCCUACGGGAGGCAGCAGUGGGGAAUAUUGCACAAUGGGCGCAAGCCUGAUGCAGCGACGCCGCGUGAGGGAUGACGGCCUUCGGGUUGUAAACCUCUUUCAGCACCGACGAAGCGCAAGUGACGGUAGGUGCAGAAGAAGGACCGGCCAACUACGUGCCAGCAGCCGCGGUAA